AUUCCGGUUGAUCCUGCCGGAGGCCAUUGCUAUUGGAGUCCGAUUUAGCCAUGCUAGUCGUACGAGUUCAUACUCGUGGCGAAUAGCUCAGUAACACGUGGCCAAUCUCCCCUUCAGCGGCGGACACCCUCGGGAAACUGAGGUUAAUCCGCCAUACACCUCUCACGUUGGAAUACCGAGAGGCCGAAACGCUUUCCGGCGCUGAAGGAUGAGGCUGCGGCCGAUUAGGUAGACGGUGGGGUAACGGCCCACCGUGCCCAUAAUCGGUACGGGUCGUGAGAGCGAGAGCCCGGAGACGGAAUCUGAGACAAGAUUCCGGGCCCUACGGGGCGCAGCAGGCGCGAACCCUUUACACUGCACGCCAGUGCGAUAAGGGGACUCCAAGUGCG
rnacentral:rRNA from 1 species